UUUUUUGUAGUCCAAGUUCAGCUAUUCCGAAGUUGCAAGUAAACGAGUAAAAGUGUUCUAGCGUGUAUUAACGCACAUGAUUCCUUACAGAGCCUCUUUUAAGUGUCUGAUUAAAUCUUACCUGAGCGCUUCAUCAAUGUCCGCAAGCGGGAUUUAACGAAAGACUUCGUCUGAUUGAGGCGUCAAUUCAGUCUCUCUACUGAAACAAGGGACACAGCAAAGCGACAUUCGUUAUUGACAAGCAGAAGAAGAAAAAACCUUCAGGUCCGUGUUAAAGACAAGCGCUCACAAGAUGAUGCUACCAUGAGCCAUAGCAACAUCAUCUGUACCUCAUCUUGAAUGGCAGUCAGAAAGCAGGUUGUGACAGUUCAUCAUGAGACAGAAUCUGUGAAAAGAUCGAUCUCCUCCACGUUUUCCCUGGGCUACUACCGCCAACUCCAGAAAUGCACCGCUCCCGACGAAAAACAACCAAUCAGACGAAUCUAAAGAACUCACGGGACAGAUUACCUUUACACGUAACAGCAACAUGCAAAUUAACAAGAUGCAUAUGUGUGGUUUUUAUUUUCAUCCAUAUAAUUCCAUGUAUGUGUAAGCAGUUGCGUAGAGGAAGCAUGAAACUUCUGGGAUGUUUUGAUUUUUGCUUUGCUUUUGCUCUUUGUCAUAA